UUCAUUGUUGGUCGAACGUCUCCAGCGAAGCUUUCGAUGACCAGCAAAGGUAAUGUUUCUUCCACAUAACACAAAUGUUCGUUGAUUGUUGAUUAAUGACUUUAUGUAUGAUUUGCUUUCAAUUUAAUUGAUUGGUUUCGUGCAUUGAGGCCAUUUGGAGUAUCAUUGAGUUCUCUUUUUUUCCUCCCCAGCGGUGGUUGUCUUCUUCUCACCUUUUAUAGCGACACUUGUCUAUUCCCUCACUCCCACAAUUAGUUUCAUUUUUGGUUUCUUAUGUAUAUUUGUCAUUGCAUUUUCAUUGAUUGUGCGCAUUUUCUUCAUUGUAGGUCGAACGUCUCUAGGGAAGGUG
rnacentral:lncRNA from 1 species